UACGGAGGGUGCAAACGUUGCUCGGAAUCAUUGGGCGUAAAGCGCACGUAGGCGGCCUGUUAAGUCGGAUGUGAAAGCCCCGGGCUCAACCCGGGAAGUGCAUACGAAACUGGCAGGCUUGAAUAUGGAAGAGGGUCGCGGAAUUCCCGGUGUAGAGGUGAAAUUCGUAGAUAUCUGGAGGAACACCGGUGGCGAAGGCGGCAGCCUGGACCAAUAUUGACGCUGAGGAGCGAAAGCUAGGGGAGCAAACGGG
rnacentral:rRNA from 1 species